rnacentral:rRNA from 1 species
GACGAACGCUGGCGGCGUGCCUAAUACAUGCCAGUCGUGCGGACCUUGUUGAAAGCUUGCUUUUAAAAGGUUAGCGGCGGACGGGUGAGUAACACGUGGGCAACCUGCCUGUAAGACUGGGAUAACGCCGGGAAACCGGGGCUAAUACCAGAUCGUUUUUUCCUCCGCAUGGAGGAAAAAGGAAAGGCGGCUUCGGCUGCCACUUACAGAUGGGCCCGCGGCGCAUUAGCUAGUUGGCGGGGUAAUGGCCCACCAAGGCAACGAUGCGUAGCCGACCUGAGAGGGUGAUCGGCCACAUUGGGACUGAGACACGGCUCAAACUCCUACGGGAGGCAGCAGUAGGGAAUCUUCCGCAAUGGACGAAAGUCUGACGGAGCAACGCCGCGUGAGUGAAGAAGGCCUUCGGGUCGUAAAACUCUGUUGCCGGGGAAGAACAAGUGCCGUUCGAACAGGGCGGCGCCUUGACGGUACCCGGCCAGAAAGCCACGGCUAACUACGUG